CCUUCCUUUAUUUUCUUUUUUACAUCUUGUAUCCAGUUAUUGCAAAUGUGCUUCAAUUUUCUGCAUUUUAUUUUACAAAAUCAGGGACAAAUGUAGAGCAAUUUCUAUUUCUGCAUGUAUCAUCCUCAGAUAGGAAUUCCAGUCAAUUGAAGCCACAACUGAGCGUGCAUGUUUGACCACCAUCUGUAUAGUGCGCUCUGAAACUUCUCCAUUUUCAGUUCGCUAGCUUCCUUUAGCGACUACAUUUGUAUAGUAUGACACAUUAGUGCUGGAAUUUUUCUCCAACUAGCAUGCCCAGGAUCUAUAGCAGACAAAUGAAGUCUUAGAUCUGUUUCUCACUCCAUAUUGCUGCCAAGUCCCUGAUGGAGAUGCCGAUCUUUUUUAUCAUUCCAAUCUAAACUUCAGCUUUUUGUAAGUGUUUUAUUUUUGCUAGCAUUUUGCCUUUGCACUCACUGAUUUAACACGCUUUUCACAUGGAAUCCUCAGCUUUCCUCACAAAUACAGUUUCUGGAAAAGUCGUUACAUUUUACUAACCUCUUUUGAUUCCAAUGGACCCAUUUUUCUCUCCUAUGUAAAUUUGCCUUUUGCUUCCUUUUGGUAUAUCAGUUUGUAAAUGUAAGAUGUCAACCUGGAUGUCAGAAUUUUUUUCAGUACAUACAUAAUCUCUUUCUUUGUAAAAUUAAUAAAUGAUUGAACUGCAGGUGUUAGAGAGCUAAAAAUUAUUUUUUGAUCGAGUGGCUUUAUUGCAGUUGUCAAUUGUCAUGGGUAUAUUUUCUACUGGGU
rnacentral:lncRNA from 1 species